GGAAGCACUGUUACUAGGCGGCACAGAGGGGAACCUGAGCUGGACUACUAAGGAGCAGGGCUGUUCCGGUGGAAACAGUGAGGUGGACAUUUAGAUUUCUUCUGCCUCUUGGUUAUUGUGACCAGUGCUGCAGUGAACAUGAUGAAUCCACUGAAAGACAAAUUAGGAAAACUACCCCAUCCGCAAUAGCCUCAAAAACCAAAAAAAAAAAUUGGAAUCAAUGUAACAAAAGAGGUGAAAGACCUCUACAAUGAAAUCUACAGAACACUAAAGAAAGAAAUUGAAGAAGACCUUGGAAGAUGGAAAGACUUCCCAUGUUCUUAGAGAGGCAGAAUUAAUAUUGUCAAAAUGGCCAACCAUCAAAAACAACAUACAGAUUGAAUGCAAUCCCCAUGAACAUACCAAAAACAUGCUUCAAAGAACUAGAAAAAAAAGUACUUGAAUUCAACUGGAAGAAUAGGAGACCCAGGAUUGCCUGAAAACCUGAGCAAGAAGAGAAAUUAGGAAUGCAGGAAGCAUCCCAACACUGUCAUCUCAAAAUAAACAUGAAGAACAAUGGAGAAUAGAAGACACAGAGACAGACCCACACCUACUUACAGUCACCUGAUACUUGACAAGGUGACAAAAUUUAUGUUGGAGAAAAGAGCCUUUUAAACAAAGGGUGCAGGGAAAACUGGAAAGCCAUACGUUGGAUUAAACUAGAUCCCUAUCUCUCACCCUGCACAAAAGUCAAAUCAAGACGGAUCAAAGACUUAGGAAUUAGAACAGAAACCUUGCAACUGCUAGAAGAAAACAUAGGGUCACUAUGACAACAUAUUGAUGUAGGCACCAACUUCUUUAAAAAAAAUAAACAAACCUUGAAACUCAAGAAAUAAAACCAAGAAUCAAUAAGUGGGAUGCCAUCAAAUUAAAAAGCUUCUGCCCAGGAAAGGAGAUGAUUAUGAGUGUGAAGAGAGAGCCUACAGGAUGGGAGAAAAUCCCUGCCAGCUACUCUUCUGGCAUGGGAUUAAUAUUCAGAAUAUAUACAGAACUAAAAAAGCUUAACAUACUACUACUACUACUACUACUUCUUUUACUACUACUAGUACCACCUAAUCAAUAAACGGACAAAAGAAAUUAACAGAAAUUUCUUAAAAGCAAUGAAUGUAUAAGAAAUAUAUGAAAAAAUGUUCAAUAUCUCCAGCAAUCAGAGAAAUGCAAAUCAAAAUUACACUAAGAUUUCACCUCACUUCAGUCAGAAUGGCAAUGAUCAAAAAAUUCAAAUAAUAAUAACUGCUGGUAAGGAUGUAAGGAAAAAAGUAUACUUGUACAUUUCUUGUACAAUUGCAAAUUAGUACAGCCACUAUGGAAAACAGUGUGGAGGUUCCUCAAAAAACUAGGACUGGAAUCACCAUAUGACCCAGCUACCCGACUCCUCAGUAUUUACCCAAAAGAACUAAAAUCAACCUGCUAUAGUGAUACAGGCACACUAAUAUUUAUAACAUUGCAAUUUAUAAUAGCCAAAUUAUGGAAUUAGCCCAGGUGCCUGUCAACAGAUAAAUGAAUGGAUAAAGAAAAUGUAGUAUAUAUGCACAAUGGAGUAUUGUUCAGCCAUAAAUAAGAAUGAAUUUAUGGUAUUUGCUGGUAAAUUAAUGGAUAUGGAGAAUAUCAUGCUAAGUGAAAUAAACCAG